UACGAAGGGGGCUAGCGUUGUUCGGAAUUACUGGGCGUAAAGCGCGCGCAGGCGGCUAUCCAAGUCAGUGGUGAAAGCCCGGAGCUCAACUCCGGAACUGCCAUUGAAACUGUUUAGCUUGAGGAUGAGAGAGGUGAGUGGAAUUCCCAGUGUAGAGGUGAAAUUCGUAGAUAUCGGGAGGAACACCGGUGGCGAAGGCGGCGAUCUGGGUCGAUACUGACGCUGAGGUGCGAAAGCGUGGGGAGCAAACAGG
rnacentral:rRNA from 1 species